rnacentral:rRNA from 1 species
ACCGCUUAGAAGGAAGCAUGAGGUGCUAUGGUAAUCUGGUGGAAUUCAAUAGGCAUGAAGGAAGCCCUUCCUUUGGCCUGUGCUUUUUCUAUCAGUGAGCAUUGAGAGUAAUGCUGAUGGAGCUGCUUACAGUCRUAGGGAACCAUCAGCAGAUGGACCUUUGCUUCUGUUUAUGACUUUAUCGAGUAUUGCUGAUAAUCUCCCCUUUAUGCUCGAUGAUGGCUGAGUCUCUUAUCGUCGGUCAAUGCUGAGAGUUCUCGGCUUUGAUUGGGGGUAGGCCAGGAGGCUAAUCAUUGUGUCGGAGAUGUCUCGGUGUCAACGUUGGCUUACCUCAUGACCCGUCUUGAAACACGGACCAAGGAGUCUAACAUGUGCGCGAGUAACUGGGUGUAAAACCCAAGUGCGAAAUGAAAGUGAAGGUCGGCUAUGUCGGCUGAUACACGAUCUGUCCAAUCUGGAUGGAGCAGUGUAGUCCCAUCCCGAUUCCUUGUGAAUGGGGUGGAGACAGAGCGUAUUUGUUGGGACCCGAAAGAUGGUGAACUAUGCCUGAACAGGAUGAAGCCAGAGGAAACUCUGGUGGAAGUCCGAAGCGGUUCUGACGUGCAAAUCGA